AUGCACAAAACUAUUCCUCCGCCUUUCGCCGUCGUCAUACUCUCAACUGUUUGCGUCUCCGUGGAAACAUCACAGCCACUGCCUCCGUCUUACUUUGCCAAAAUUCAGAUCCAUGGAUUCUCUACCUCCUCCAAUUUCGAUCUUAUUCCUCGAUUCACAUACAACAAAAGCGAAAUCGAUAAAGGAUUUUUGGAGCUUACCUACCGGAGAACUCUGGUGGUUCUUCAGCGACGACGAAGACGAGGAAUCUCGGACGGAACUGUAAGCCUUUCAGCUCUUUGCUUCAAUAGACUCCGUUUCCGUUUAUUCUUCUACUUGGUUAUUCUGAGAAAUUCUUCUGAUCGAUCCCCGUCAUUUGCAUCUUUUUUUAUCAUCGUGUUAUUGUUGAUGCGCUGA